UACGCAGGGGGCUAGCGUUGCUCGGAAUUACUGGGCGUAAAGCGCACGUAGGCGGGUUGUUAAGUCGGGGGUGAAAUCCUGGAGCUCAACUCCAGAACUGCCUUCGAAACUGACGAUCUUGAGUUCGGGAGAGGUGAGUGGAACUGCGAGUGUAGAGGUGAAAUUCGUAGAUAUUCGCAAGAACACCAGUGGCGAAGGCGGCUUACUGGUCCGGUUCUGACGCUGAGGCGCGAAAGCGUGGGGAGCAAACAGG
rnacentral:rRNA from 1 species